AUGAAAUCGGCGAGUUUAUUGGCGCAAUAGUCCCAGAAUCAAGAGCAGAGAGAAAUGUGGGAUUGCAAUCUACCUCACGAGCUCAUCGUCGAAAUCCUCAAACGACUCCCCGCGAAAUCGCUCCUCCGCUUCAGGUGUGUUCGUAAGUCAUGGUCUUCUCUAAUUACCAGUCCCGUUUUCAUCGCAUCAUACAACAAUCUAAACAGUACAAACCCUAGUACUAGUAACACUCAAAUUCUCCUCAGAAAUUACUCUGAAACCCUCCACAAAGAGAUCUACACAUUACACCAUGAUAAUACCACUUUUGAUAUCCACACGGAGCUCGAAUUCCCGUUCACUAGCUUCAACCCUUACUUUAGAUUAGUGGGUUCUUGUAAUGGUUUGAUAUGUUUGGCUGAUACUUUGUUCACACAUAAGAAUAAGGUCAUUCUAUGGAACCCUUCAGUUAGAAAAUUCUUGAACCUUCCGUCCCCGAGUAUUCAGUAUGAAAGGGAGUGGUUGUUCAAGUCUGUGUUUGGUUUUGGGUUCGAUUGUAAAAAAAAGGACUACAAGGUGGUCAGGAUUGCCAUUGGUGGGUUGUCGAUAAACAUUCGCCCCAGGGCGGAGGUUUUUGAAUUGAGCACGGGAGCAUGGAGGGCUAUUGAUGCGGUUGUGCCUCCUUAUGAGAUGCACCAUUGUUGGUUGCAGGCUAAUUUGAAUGGCUCUGUGCAUUGGCUUGUGUUUAACCCGAGCCAGAAUGGUGGGUUUUGUAGUUUGAUUGUGGCAUUUGAUGUGAGUGAUGAGGUGUUUCGGGAGAUAUUGUUGCCCCUUAGUUUGGCUAAUGAGCAUUUGGUGGAUUUGUCCAUUACAGUUUGUGGGAAUUGCCUCGCGCUAUGCCAUUAUUAUCAGGUUACAAAUCGCAGGGCUUGUACCAUUUGGGUGUUGAAAGAGUACGGUGUUGGAACUUGGUAUAAAAUGUUUACUAUUGAUUUGCAACAAGGAGUGUUGGUGGCAUUAAGUUUUCGGGGGAAUGGUGAAGUUCUGCUUGCAACAGGAGGGGAAGAGCUGGUCUACUAUAGUCCGAAGAAGAAACAAGUUACUCAUCUUGGGAUCCGUGGGAGUUUGCAACCGCUUGAAUUUUAUACUGGCUCAUUCUAUUUGGAUACGUACGUGCAAAGUCUAGUUUUUCUUGACAGAGUGAAUGGAGUUUCAGAUUCUGAGGCAGCACUUCUUUCACUCGAUGAAUAGGAUGAUUAAAUGAAGCAAAGAAUUCCUAGCUUGACUGGCCAAGUCCAGCUCUUGCGAGAGCCACGAAUUUUUGGUGGAGUUUGAGUUUGUGCUGCUGCAUGAAGAUUUUCCGGCGGACCAAACACAAGCUGUGGCUGUGAAGUUUCUGAAGGCAGCAGUGAAGGGCGCUUUAGUCCAGUCCGUCUUCACAAGGCCGCCUCUCGUGGCCCAGUCGUCCGCAUUCCAGAGACUUGCAUAUACCCUCAUUGGUUGGUUUUUUGGGUAUGGAACACCUUGUGAUUCCAAAUUCUUGAACACUCUGAUGGGUGCGUCAUCGACGUAGAAGCUGGAAAAAAGGACAAAACAUGUUACCCCAACUAUCACGUAAGAAACUGCCUUUUUUUUAUUUUCGGAAUUGUUUUAUAUCCUUAGGUCAAAAUAUGCAGCUUUUACAAGGUAAGAAAAUACAAGUUGGAUGAAGUGAAUACUUACGUGAUGGUUUGGGGAUUCCAGAGGACGGAAUAUGUGUGAAAAUCAGCAGUCGGGUCGAACCAUAGUACACAAUAACUUACAUAAUAUGCGGUGACGGUGCCAGCGGAAUUUCCAGGAACAAGCCUGAGUUGCAUAUCAAUUUUUCCAAAUAGGUACUCGUUCUUGGACUGGAAGCCUGAACCGGAAGCCUUGUCAAGUGAGAGAUUGAGAAGCUCCCCAUUGUUGAGUACCUUGGCACGGCCAUUGCCCCAAGUGAUAUCAAAAUCUUGAUAGAAAUUACUGGCUGAGACAUCUAUUGAAGUGCUGAUCAUGAACAAGAGAGAAAUCAACACCACCACCACUGUUCUAGUUGGACAAGAGAAACAAGCCAUUUGGUUCCUUGUUUUUUGUUUGAUAGCUAGAAACUAAUGGAAAUAGGAGUAUUUAGAGCCUCAAGAGAGCAAGAGAGAGAAUUUUGUACUAGAGCCUGAAACUUUGGAUGUAUUAUUCUUGUUCAAAAUGGGUACGUGUAUAUAGCCGUGAGCAAGGCCAGUUAGUGCUAUCGAGUUGUGCAGCACUACUGACUUGAAUGGUUGGCAUGUCAAGAUCUGGAUGGAUGAUGACUGAUGAAUCCAUUGGAAGUUGAUAAUCA